rnacentral:rRNA from 1 species
UACGUAGGGGGCAAGCGUUGUCCGGAUUUAUUGGGCGUAAAGAGCGUGUAGGCGGCCAUGCAGGUCCGUUGUGAAAACUCGAGGCUCAACCUCGAGACGCCGGUGGAAACCGUAAGGCUAGAGUCCGGAAGAGGAGAGUGGAAUUCCUGGUGUAGCGGUGAAAUGCGCAGAUAUCAGGAGGAACACCCGGUGGCGAAGGCGGGUCUCUG